UCAAGAGUUCUAUAUCUAAUAGAUCUAUCAUUCAAAAAUGUAGGAGAAAUUAAGACAUUCCCAAAUGAAUAAAAUUUGAGAGUGUUUGUUACCAGUCAAACUAACCUACAAUAAAAACAAAAGAUAGUCCAUAGGCUGAAAUGAAAGAACAUAAUAACUCAAAUUUGCAUGAAGAGAUAAAAAGCAAUGGUAAAGGCCUCUGGAUCUUGGGAUAAUAGAAAUGAAGGUAUGGAAGGCUGAGACAGUUGACCUGCAUCAUCUUAGGAGAUUUUAUUAUCAUCUGAAUCUCAGAAUCAGGAAAUAGGUGUGAAUCUGGACCCAAACAGAAAACAAGGUGAUGCAUCUGUCUUCAAAUUUGUCUGAGAACUACUUUGUUUAAGAAAUGCAACACGGUGUAAUCAACUGCCUUGUUGAUAGUAUCUUCUCAGAGGGCCAUCAUAUUAUGUAAGGAAAACAAGAAAAAUGGCUUUAAAGCCGUAUGUUAUUUCCAACA